GCUUCUCUUGAGAGCGGCGGACGGGUGAGUAAUGCCUAGGAAUCUGCSUGGUAGUGGGGGAUAACGUUCGGAAACGGACGCUAAUACCGCAUACGUCCUACGGGAGAAAGCAGGGGACCUUCGGGCCUUGCGCUAUCAGAUGAGCCUAGGUCGGAUUAGCUAGUUGGUGAGGUAAUGGCUCACCAAGGCGACGAUCCGUAACUGGUCUGAGAGGAUGAUCAGUCACACUGGAACUGAGACACGGUCCAGACUCCUACGGGAGGCAGCAGUGGGGAAUAUUGGACAAUGGGCGAAAGCCUGAUCCAGCCAUGCCGCGUGUGUGAAGAAGGUCUUCGGAUUGUAAAGCACUUUAAGUUGGGAGGAAGGGCAGUAAAUUAAUACUUUGCUGUUUUGACGUUACCGACAGAAUAAGCACCGGCUAACUCUGUGCCAGCAGCCGCGGUAAUACAGAGGGUGCAAGCGUUAAUCGGAAUUACUGGGCGUAAAGCGCGCGUAGGUGGUUUGUUAAGUUGGAUGUGAAAUCCCCGGGCUCAACCUGGGAACUGCAUUCAAAACUGACUGACUAGAGUAUGGUAGAGGGUGGUGGAAUUUCCUGUGUAGCGGUGAAAUGCGUAGAUAUAAGAAGGAACACCAGUGGCGAAGGCGACCACCUGAACUAAUACUGACACUGAGGUGCGAAAGCGUGGGGGGGCAAACAGGAUUAGAUACCCUGGUAGUCCACGCCGUAAACGAUGU
rnacentral:rRNA from 1 species